UCCUACCACAGACUACGAAGUAAAGACCGCUAUCAUCGCCAUAAGGCUGAGAGAAAUCAAGUAGGCGAUGCUCGGUCUUACCGCUAGGGGCGCGGGAGUAUACUUUCUGAAAAUUUUUCUACUUUUUCUAAUAUUAGUACUGAAUACGUGCUUCACACACACGUAUUGGCGGGAAUUGUAUUUAACUUUACGUCAUCAACUGUACACCUUAAUUUUCUAGAUCCCCUUCCUGUAUCCCGUGAAUUAUUUCAAAAUUUUAUUCUAAUUCUUUGGUAUGGUAAUAAAAUUAUACAUUUACCCCCUCUUUUCCCUAUUUUUCAGAUGUAUAGAGCCCAUCGUGAAACCCUGCAUUUCAGACAAUAUUUCGUGUUUUUCUAACAGAAGUCAGAAGCUGUCAGAACACAGAAACAGAAGCGGGAAUUGUGAAGUGCUGCCCAUCCUAACCCAAAGAUAAGGAGCUAUUUAAAAACGGAAACAGAAGAUUCCCAGGAAGGAAGUUUCAAAAUUACUUGCUUCAGACAGAUGCAGGCGACUGGAUCUAGGAGCGAUCAUUUGGAAAUGGAGUACUAGCACUACAGGACAAUUAGUGCCCACUCUAUGGAACUUUAAAGCAGCAGUGAUAUAAAACAAGAGAUACCAAUAACUGCCUAUACCCAAACCAUACACGUUACAUUUCAUUGAUAUUAUUGGACAAACAAGUAAUGUGACCGCAAAGACAAGAUAGUUCGCCAUGUGCUCUUCUUAACUCUGUGAGUAGUGCUAACAACACACUAUUAUGUUAUUCAUAAUCUUGUUCAACUAUCAUAAAAUAAAGAUGCUCAAAUGACAACAGCUUAUUAGUAGCUGGACAGGUAAGUAAUUUUUCAGUCAAAUAAUAUGUCUCAUUAAUGAUUUAAUUAUACCAUAUCUACACAAAGCAUGGCCAACUCCUGUCAAUGCCACACAAUUGUUGUAUCCCAACAAUACUUCCAUUCUGCAAAAACCUAAAUGUCAGAACAUAUUCAUAGCAGUGGGGUGGCAGUCAACGUCUCAGGCAAAGUGUACAGUUUAUAUAUUUCUUGGUUAUUAACACCUUACAAUUUUACUUGCAUUUCACAAAAUAUGUAACAUGGUAUCAAUGUAAGGUUACAAUAUAAUCAUCGUCUUGCCAA